GUGCUUGCUUUGGCAGCACAUAUACUACAAUUGGAAUGAUACAGAGAAGAUUAGCAUUGCCCCUGCACAAGGAUGACACACAAAUUUGUGAAGCAUUCCCUAUUUCU
rnacentral:snRNA from 1 species